UACGUAGGGUGCGAGCGUUGUCCGGAAUUAUUGGGCGUAAAGAGCUUGUAGGCGGUUUGUCGCGUCUGCUGUGAAAAUCCGGGGCUCAACCCCGGACUUGCAGUGGGUACGGGCAGACUAGAGUGUGGUAGGGGAGACUGGAAUUCUCGGUGUAGCGGUGAAAUGCGUAGAUAUCGAGAGGAACACCUGCGGCGAAGGCGGGUUGCUGGGCUGACACUGACGCUGAACUGCGAAAGCUAGGGGAGCGAACGGG
rnacentral:rRNA from 1 species